UACGUAGGUGACAAGCGUUAUCCGGAAUUACUGGGCGUAAAGCGCACGCAGGUGGCUACUUAAGUCUGACGUGAAAGCUCCUGGCUUAACUGGGAGAGGUCGUUGGAAACUGAGUGGCUUGAGGCGAUGAGAGGGGUAUGGAAUUCCCGGUGUAGUGGUGGAAUGCGUAGAGAUCGGGAGGAACACCAGUGGCGAAAGAGAUGCCCGAGCGUUAGCUUGACGCUCAUGUGCGAAAGCGUGGGGAGCGAACGGG
rnacentral:rRNA from 1 species